AGUGUGUUGUGUCUGUCGGCGUCUCCCAUGCUGCUCACGAACACAAAUGCACUCU
rnacentral:pre_miRNA from 1 species